rfam:Ciona savignyi cont_5040, whole genome shotgun sequence.
GGCCCGAAGGCCUAAUAGAUAAGGCAUUGGCCUCCUAAGCAAAGGAUUGUGGGUUCGAGUCCCACCCGGGGUG